rnacentral:tRNA from 1 species
AGAGUGAUAGCUCAGUGGUAAAGCACAUGCUUACCUCUGCACGAGGUCCUGGGUUCAACUCCCAGUACCUCCA